rnacentral:lncRNA from 1 species
UGCUUCCCUUGGGGAUGCCCAGAACACAGCCUGGGAUGAUGAGGAGAGGCGGGAGAGCUUCCUAGGAGAUAGGCCCUGGAGCACCACUGUCCCUCCCCCAGGCCCAGGAUGUGAUUCUGAAUCUACAGUCAGACUGGACCACCUCUCCCCCGUGCCCCCAGAAUGUCCACAGGGGCUCCCUCACCUACAAUAGAUGGAUUAGAUUCCUCCCUGCUCUUCCCACACUGUCAGAGUCUGACUGGUGUGAAGUUUCAGUGUUUUUGUGUGUAUUUUAAUACCAAGGUAGGCUAGAUAAGGAGGAGCUUUCAUUACAUCUUGGAAGUCUGUUCCCCGCACACACGCACAGCCGUCCUCCCUUCCCCCUACAUCUGAUCUAAUUCUCUAUCUGCUUUGCUGAGGCUGGCCUGGCCUAAGAGGAUUAGAGCAUUUGCUAAACGGGACCAGGACAGGCAGGGUCAGAGAACCCGCUGUGGGGAGACCCA